rnacentral:rRNA from 1 species
UGCCAGCCGCCGCGGUAAUACGGAGGGCGCAAGCGUUACUCGGAACCACUGGGCGUAAAGAGCGUGUAGGCGGGUUAAUAAGUUUGAAGUGAAAUCCAAUGGCUCAACCAUUGAACUGCUUUGAAAACUGUUAACCUAGAAUAUGGGAGAGGUAGAUGGAAUUUCUGGUGUAGGGGUAAAAUCCGUAGAGAUCAGAAGGAAUACCGAUUGCGAAGGCGAUCUACUGGAACAUUAUUGAAGCUGGGGCGAGAACUCGUGGGGAGACAGCAGGAUUAGAUC